CAACAUGGAGAGUUUGAUCCUGGCUCAGGAUGAACGCUGGCGGUAUGCUUAACACAUGCAAGUCGAACGGAAUCCUUCGGGAUUUAGUGGCGGACGGGUGAGUAACGCGUGAGAAUCUGCCUUCAGGACGGGGACAACAGUUGGAAACGGCUGCUAAAACCCGAUGUGCCUACGGGUGAAAUAUUUAUAGCCUGAAGAGGAGCUCGCGUCUGAUUAGCUAGUUGGUGCGGUAACGGCGUACCAAGGCGACGAUCAGUAACUGGUCUGAGAGGAUGACCAGUCACACUGGGACUGAGACACGGCCCAGACUCCUACGGGAGGCAGCAGUGGGGAAUUUUCCGCAAUGGGCGCAAGCCUGACGGAGCAAUACCGCGUGAGGGAGGAAGGCUCUUGGGUCGUAAACCUCUUUUAUCAGGGAAGAACACAAUGACGGUACCUGAUGAAUCAGCAUCGGCUAACUCCGUGCCAGCAGCCGCGGUAAUACGGAGGAUGCAAGCGUUAUCCGGAAUUAUUGGGCGUAAAGCGUCCGCAGGUGGUUUUGAAAGUUUGCUGUUAAAUCGCGAGGCUCAACUUCGUAACGGCGGUGAAAACUUCAAGACUAGAGUUUGGUAGGGGUCACGGGAAUUCCCAGUGUAGCGGUGAAAUGCGUAGAUAUUGGGAAGAACACCAGCGGCGAAAGCGCGUGACUGGGCCUGAACUGACACUCAUGGACGAAAGCUAGGGGAGCGAAAGGGAUUAGAUACCCCUGUAGUCCUAGCCGUAAACGAUGACAACUAGGUGUUGCCCGUAUCGACCCGGGCAGUGCCGUAGCCAACGCGUUAAGUUGUCCGCCUGGGGAGUACGCACGCAAGUGUGAAACUCAAAGGAAUUGACGGGGGCCCGCACAAGCGGUGGAGUAUGUGGUUUAAUUCGAUGCAACGCGAAGAACCUUACCAAGGCUUGACAUGUGCAGAAUCCUCUUGAAAGGGAGGAGUGCCUUCGGGAGCUGCAACACAGGUGGUGCAUGGCUGUCGUCAGCUCGUGUCGUGAGAUGUUGGGUUAAGUCCCGCAACGAGCGCAACCCUCGUUUCUAGUUGCCAUCAUUGAGUUGGGCACUUUAGAGAGACUGCCGGUGACAAACCGGAGGAAGGUGGGGAUGACGUCAAGUCAGCAUGCCCCUUACGCCUUGGGCUACACACGUACUACAAUGCUACGGACAAAGAGCCGCAAGUUCGCGAGGACAAGCAAAUCUCAUAAACCGUGGCUCAGUUCAGAUUGCAGGCUGCAACUCGCCUGCAUGAAGGCGGAAUCGCUAGUAAUCGCAGGUCAGCAUACUGCGGUGAAUACGUUCCCGGGCCUUGUACACACCGCCCGUCACACCAUGGGAGUUGGCCACGCCCGAAGUCGUUACUCCAACCGUUCGCGGAGGAGGAUGCCGAAGGCAGGGCUGAUGACUGGGGUGAAGUCGUAACAAGGUAGCCGUACCGGAAGGUGUGGCUGGAUCACCUCCUUA
rnacentral:rRNA from 2 species